rnacentral:rRNA from 1 species
UACAGAGGGGGCAAGCGUUAUUCGGAAUUAUUGGGCGUAAAGGGCGCGUAGGCGGCUUGGCAAGUGGAAGGUGAAAUCCCUCGGCUUAACCGAGGAACUGCCCUCCAAACUGCUUUGCUUGAGGCCGGGAGAGGUGAGUGGAAUUCCCAGUGUAGCGGUGAAAUGCGUAGAUAUUGGGAGGAACACCAGUGGCGAAGGCGGCUCACUGGACCGGCAUUGACGCUGAGGAGCGAAAGCCAGGGGAGCAAACGGG